AAAUGCAAUUACUUAAUUUUUUAAAUGUGAUUUAGGAGUUAUAACAUGAUUUUUAAAGCUCCAUAUUGGGAAAAAAGACCUUGAAGCUCCAUAUAAUCAAGACAGUGGUGCUGGUUCGUGUGGUCAAGAAGUCCCUGAGUUAUGAGGAGUAAUACCUCCACUGCCACACAUCAUCAGUCACCCUUUGUUGAGUUCUUCAGGUACUCAACAAAUGCAACACAGAGUAGCACCUGAAAGGAUAUUGUUGGAAUAUUAUAAAAUAUCUUAUAAGAUCUCGUAGAAUCAAUUUGUAAUUUUAGUAUAUUUUAGAUUAAUUUUAGGAUUAGUUUCUAUAUUUUAGUAUGUUAAUCCAAACAAGCAAUUUAACCUUCUAUUCUCUGUGAAUACUUGCUCUGUUUUUGUAUCUUUAAAUAGAAAAAGGCUCGACGGGAAAACAAAUUCUCAUUCCUUAA